AGCUGAAAAUCUAGCCCCCAACAAACUCAUGUACACACUUAUCUGCCCUAUUUAAUUAAAUCAUUCUUACACCUAAGUAGAGGAGAUCGAAAAGCUUUAUUGGAGCUAUAUAAUAAGUACCGCAAGGGAAAGAUGAAAUAUUAAUGAAAUUAACCUCAAGCCAAAUAAAAUAGAGACUAACCCUCGUACCUUUCGCAUCAUGGUUUAACAAGUCCAACCAAGCAAAAAGAAUCUUUCAGUUUGACUCCCCGAAACUAGACGAGCUACUUAAGAGCAGCUUACUGAGCUAACCCAUCUCUGUAGCAAAAGAGUGGGAUGACUUUUAAAUAGCGGUGACAGACCUACCGAGCCUAGUGAUAGCUGGUUGCUUAAGAAAGGAAUUUAAGUUCAACCUAAAUUUAAUUUAAUACUACUUUAUAAGAUUAUAAAUUUAGAGCAAUUCAAAUAAGGUACAGCCUAUUUGAAUCAGGACACAACCUUAAACAAUGGGUUAACCAGUUCAUUAUUACAAUAAAGUAGGCCUAAGAGCAGCCAUCUUUACUAACAGCGUCAAAGCUUAAUUGUAUACUGAAUAAAUACCUAACAUUUCAUUUACCCCUUCCCCCCAUAUUAAGCAAUUCUAUAUAAUUAUAGAAACUUCUAUGUUAAUACUAGUAACAAGAACUAGAUGUUCUCUUAGAUUUAAGUGUAAAUCAGAAAGGACUCACCACUGAUAAUUAACAUCAUUAAAACUAAAGCAACAACUCAUCAAGAAAACACUACUUUCAUUUAUGUUAAUCUAACACAAGAAAAUCUUAAGAAAGAUUAAAAGGAAAAGAAGGAACUCGGCAAAUAUUAACCCCGCCUGUUUACCAAAAACAUCGCCUCUUGCACUACACAUAAGAGGUCCAGCCUGCCCAGUGACAUUGUUCAACGGCCGCGGUAUCCUAACCGUGCGAAGGUAGCGUAAUCACUUGUUCUUUAAAUAAGGACUAGUAUGAAUGGCAUCACGAGGGUUAUACUGUCUCCUCUUCCUAAUCAGUGAAACUAAUCUCCCCGUGAAGAAGCGGGGGUAAUAUUAUAAGACGAGAAGACCCUAUGGAGCUUUAGAUUAAACGACACUUGUUUGCACUAAUUUUAAAUUCCAGAAAAACAUGCCCACUUAACAAGAUAAUCGUCAAUCUUAGGUUGGGGUGACCGCGGAGCAUAAAAUAACCUCCAUGUUGAAUGACAUUUACUAUCUUAUUCACGAGCAACCACUCUAAAAAUCAACAUACUGACAUCUAUUGACCCAAUUUUUGAUCAACGAACCAAGUUACCCUAGGGAUAACAGCGCAAUCCUCUUCAAGAGCUCCUAUCGACAAGUGGGUUUACGACCUCGAUGUUGGAUCAGGGUAUCCAAGUGGUGUAGCCGCUACUAAAGGUUCGUUUGUUCAACGAUUAAAACCCU
rnacentral:rRNA from 1 species